GAUGAAGAACGUAGUGAAAUGCGAUAAUUGAUGUGAAUUGCAGAAUUCCGUGAAUCAUCGAGUCUUUGAACGCACAUUGCGCCUCAUGGCAUUCCAUGAGGCAUGCCCAUCUCAGCGUUAGAAAAUAUUCUCAAAUUUUAGUUUUGUGCUAAAAUUUGGAUCAUGUCAAGGAAGCUAUUACUAUUAUUGUGAUCGCUCUUUGGAAAUUGAUAGGUCUUUGAGUUGCUACUCAUAGAACGUGAUGAAUCUUUCUUCGUUCUAUUGUAAUUCACUCUGGUAGUCCUAAAACUUGUAUGCCUGUGGCAUAUCUUGUAAUUUGACCUGAGAUUGGGUAGGGAUACCCGCUGAACUUAAGCAUAUCAAUAAGCGGAGGA
rnacentral:misc_RNA from 1 species